rnacentral:rRNA from 1 species
UACGUAGGGGGCGAGCGUUGUCCGGAUUUAUUGGGCGUAAAGAGCAUGUAGGCGGCCAGGUAGGUCUGCUGUGAAAACUCGAGGCUCAACCUCGAGACGUCGGCGGAAACCAUCUGGCUAGAGUCCGGAAGAGGAGAGUGGAAUUCCUGGUGUAGCGGUGAAAUGCGCAGAUAUCAGGAAGAACACCCGUGGCGAAGGCGGCUCUCUGGGACGGUACUGACGCUGAGACGCGAAAGCGUGGGGAGCGAACAGG